CCCUAUGGGGUGCAAAGCAAUACCGGAUUUGCUACUAUAAAUAUGAUUUUAAGGGAAAUGCGUUUGUUUCUGAAUCAGGAAGCAUCCCCCCCGUGAUGACAAACAUGUUUUCAAAACUUCCCCAAUCGGCAUUGCGAACUCUGGGCAGAAUUUUAUAUCGACACAUGGGCUAAGACCCUGAUUGAAUUUUUGAGACUUUUGAAAAACGACACAAUGUCAUUGCGAAGUGAAGCAAUCUCAUGAUCUUAUGGAUAUUCAAGAGAUUGCCGCGUCUCUUCGCGCCUCAAAGAUGCGAGGGGUAGUUUUUCAAAAGACUCUCAUUCCAUGUGCUUAGCUAUGUCAAGUCGAGGGUCAGCGAAGAAUCUGAUACCGGAACAAGGGGUUGCAACCCCUUGUUCUACAAAAUAGUUUCUUCGGCUAAAGCCUAAGAAUAAUAUGGGGUAGAGUAAUAGAGGUGCUGUCCCUCGCUGGCGGGAGGGC
rnacentral:rRNA from 1 species